AGGUGUCUGUCUUCCACAUGGCUGACAGCUGAAUUCUGUCCAAAAAGGAUGAUUAAGGCUGCAAUAGAUCCUUUGCUGCUUUUCCAGCUAAAAAGAGAGGAGUGAGGACUACGAAGAGUUUCCCUAUUUCUUAAUCUAACUAUAAGUCCCAAAAUGCACAUUCAUGUCUCUUCCACAGAAUGGCAAGGAAAUUUUACAACAGCUACAAGCUCCUGGGUAGCAGAAUGGUUAUACAUGGAGACAGAACAAUGAAAACUGGGAAGAAUCUGGGAACAGCAACAGCAGAACCAGCAACCGAAUCCUUUUUUUUUUUUUUAAUUUCUUGUAAGGAUUAGAAAUUAUUAAUCAGCUAACUCAAUGAAAACUGUAAUGAAAUCAACAAGUACAAAGGUAUAUGUGAUGUUCUAAAACAGAAAAGCUCAGCUCUUUAGUGUUUCAAACUAAAAUACAGCUCCAUGUACUGUUUAGGGCAUUGGGUAUUGCUGUGACUAGGGUGUGCAAGAAAUAAACAAAUCAAGCCAGUUUCAAGCUGUGAAACAAGUACUGAAGUUCAUAAGCAGUUCAGGCUACUAACAGUUAGUUCUCAAUUACUAUCAUGGUCACUACAUAUACAAACCCAUUAGUCCUUAAAAAAUCUAUCCCAGAUGAGCAGCAAGUACACAAUGCAGUGGAGUUGAUGCCAUGCAGUGAGUGCCGACGGCUCCAUCCUUAGUGGUCCUUGGUCACCAGGAUAAGGAUAACCAGGCUCGAGAGCUUCUUGCAGGCAGUUGCUUUCUUCACUCAGUUUAUGUUUCAUACUCUCUGAGCCCAGCCCAAAAGAAAAGGAAGUGAUCUCAUUUGUUCUUGCUGACUUAUUUUGGGAGUUGGGAUGUCUGGGGUUUUGCUUAUUUUACAGGUGUCACCAGACACCUUUCCUGCCUGCUCUGCAUCUUUCUCCUUCUGUUUUUUGUUUGGUGACAGGUUUCCAAUUGUAAUUUCUUAGAUAAGCUUCAUUUUGCCCAUUUAAUGAGGCUUUAAAAUAGCUGGAAAGAAUGAACUAGGAAACUGUGAGCUGUACAGGAUUGUUUCAGUUGCUGUCAAAAAUCACAGAGCGAGUCUUCCUGAAACGUAUUUCUUGCCAUAUGGAGAAGGUGAUUAGGUGACACAGGUUCUAUGAGCCUGUAGUCACUGAUUUAAGUAAAAUGGCUGGAACUGCAUCGUAUGGCCUAGAUAUAAUCUGCUUUUGAGCUGUGUCAGCUAUCAGCCAACACUUAAAUGCAAUCUAAAAUAAAAGUGUGUUUAAAUGAAAGCAGCAAGCAUCUGAGGAUUAACUGUAGAUGGAAAAUCUCUGCUUCAGAGGUGGGGUGGGUCCUUGGUAAAGCAUCUCCCAUCUCACUUUAAUCCACACCUGCGUAUCUAUCCAAGUCCUCAACAUAUGAAUUUUGGGUACCUCUGUCCUGUGAAAUCCACAGUCCUCAAACUGAUGCCCAGGUUUCUUAUGCAGUGCUGAGAGUGAAAAUCACAGGUUUAACAAGCUUACAUAAGACUCCUUUUCCAGGGGAGCAAAAUGGGACUCCAGAUCUACUCCAGAUUACAAACUCAUGCUCCUGCCUGGGAGAUUGGACCCAAAUUUUCUUUUUCCUAGUCCACCUCAUUUGUCACAGAACUUAACAUUAAUAUAAUAAGAAUGGGGGUUAUUUUUGUGUUAUUCUUGUGAAUCUGUAAACUGGGAAAGGCUGAGAAAGUUGGGGCUGUCCAGGCUGGAAAAGUGAAGGCUGUGUGGAGACCUUCCAGCAUCUGAAGGGGGCUUACAGGGAAGCUGGAGAAGGACUAUGCAUCAGGAAUUGUAGUGACAGUACAAGUUACAAAGGGUACAAAUUGAAAGAGGGGAAAUUUAGUUUAGAUAUUAGGAAGAAAUUUUUUACUGUGAGGUAGUGAGACACUGGAACAGG